rnacentral:rRNA from 1 species
UACGGGGGGGGUAAGCGUUGUUCGGAAUUACUGGGCGUAAAGGGCUCGUAGGCGGCCAACUAAGUCAGACGUGAAAUCCCUCAGCUUAACUGGGGAACUGCGUCUGAUACCGGAUGGCUUGGAUCCGGGAGAGGGAUGCGGAAUUCCAGGUGUAGCGGUGAAAUGCGCAGAUAUCAGGAGGAACACCAGCGGCGAAGGCGGCGCUCUGGGCCGGUACUGACACUGAGGCACGAAAGCGUGGGGAGCAAACAGG